rnacentral:rRNA from 1 species
GCGCACCAGGCGAGAAUCCUUCGCAAUGCGGGAAACCGCGACGAGGGGACUCCCAGUGCCUACGCUCAGCGUAGGCUGUUCCCGAGCCUAGAAAGCUCGGGGAGUAAGGGCUGGGUAAGACGGGUGCCAGCCGCCGCGGUAAUACCCGCAGCCCGAGUGGUGGCCACUAUUAUUGGGCCUAAAGCGUCCGUAGCCGGCCCGGUAAAUGCCUGGGUAAAUCGUGAGGCCUAACCUCACGAAUUCCGGGUAGACUGCCGGGGCUAGGGGACCGGAGGAGGGAGAGGGUACUCCAGGGGUAGGGGUGAAAUCCUGUAAUCCCUGGAGGACCACCGGUGGCGAAGGCGCUCUCCUAGGACGGGUCCGACGGUGAGGGACGAAAGCCAGGGGAGCGAACCGGAUUAGA